rnacentral:rRNA from 1 species
AGAGUUUGAUCCUGGCUCAGGACGAACGCUGGCGGCGUGCCUAAUACAUGCAAGUCGAGCGGACGAAUCGAAAGCUUGCUUUUGAUUCGUUAGCGGCGGACGGGUGAGUAACACGUGGGCAACCUGCCCUGUAGACGGGGAUAACACCGAGAAAUCGGUGCUAAUACCGGAUAACACGAAAUGUCGCAUGACGUUUCGUUGAAAGACGGCGCAAGCUGUCGCUACAGGAUGGGCCCGCGGCGCAUUAGCUAGUUGGUGAGGUAACGGCUCACCAAGGCGACGAUGCGUAGCCGACCUGAGAGGGUGAUCGGCCACACUGGGACUGAGACACGGCCCAGACUCCUACGGGAGGCAGCAGUAGGGAAUCUUCCGCAAUGGACGUAAGUCUGACGUAGCAACGCCGCGUGGGCGAAGAAGGCCUUCGGGUCGUAAAGCUCUGUUGUUAGGGAAGAACAGUAACGCAGUAACUGGCGUUACCGUGACGGUACCUAACGAGAAAGCCACGGCUAACUACGUGCCAGCAGCCGCGGUAAUACGUAGGUGGCAAGCGUUGUCCGGAAUUAUUGGGGCGUAAAGCGCGCGCAGGCGGGUUUCCUUAAGUCUGAUGUGAAAGCCCACGGCUCAACCGUGGAGGGUCAUUUGGAAACUGGGGGACUUGAGUGCAGAAGAGGAGAGCGGAAUUCCACGUGUAGCGGUGAAAUGCGUAGAGAUGUGGAGGGAACACCAGUGGCGAAGGCGGCUCUCUGGUCUGUAACUGACGCUGAGGGCGCGAAAGCGUGGGGAGCAAAACAGGAUUAGAU